GGUUCAUAGCUGUGCUCAAAGGAAAGGAGGAGCAUUGCAUGUCUGAGAAAACGGAGCUGUGAAAGGUUGAAUUAAACCAUCAUGGCAUCGUGAUGUCAAUAUUCUUAGCCUGCUGCCAGCCUCUUCCCUUGGCUGGAAAUGUUGCGAGCUCUCUGCAGCUGAAUUCAAAGGCUUCUCUCUUCUUCCCCGGAAACACACCCAGGGAACAGGUUGAGGUUUCCAGCAUAACUCACCCCCA